GUUGCGCGCUACGGACUGGCGAACCCGCGAGAGUAUUCUAGGCCGCUUGUGUGAUCAAACAGAUCCAUUCCGUUCUUGGGGAACAUCAUCGAGAUUAGACGUGGGCUCUCAACUUUAUUCCAGUGGCGGACGGGGGUCCUUUGCAUCUGUAUUGAGGUGCCGAUAGCCGCAUUCACGCCCGAAGACGUGGAGACUCGCAGCAGGAAGAUCUUGUUCAAGCCUGUAAGAGAUUGGAGCAACAUCCGCUGCUUUAUAAUAGCAGGCUUGGUGAUUAAGCGUUAGAGCUGCUCUGAGGGCCAGUGGAAACCCAGGUGUGUAUCUUCUGAUUUCCUCUUGUCUCGUGUGGGAUUUUGCGAUAUUUACAUUGAUGCAUUUA
ensembl:lncRNA